rnacentral:rRNA from 1 species
GAUGAACGCUGGCGGCGUGCCUAAUACAUGCAAGUCGAGCGAACGGACGAGAAGCUUGCUUCUCUGACGUUAGCGGCGGACGGGUGAGUAACACGUGGAUAACCUACCUAUAAGACUGGGAUAACUUCGGGAAACCGGAGCUAAUACCGGAUUAUCUUUUGAACCGCAUGGUUCAAAAGUGAAAGACGGUCUUGCUGUCACUUAUAGAUGGAUCCGCGCUGCAUUAGCUAGUUGGUAAGGUAACGGCUUACCAAGGCAACGAUGCAUAGCCGACCUGGGAGGGUGAUCGGCAACACUGGAACUGGGACCCGGUCCGGACUCCUACGGGAGGCAGCAGUAGGGAAUCUUCCGCAAUGGGCGAAAGCCUGACGGGGCAACGCCGCGUGAGUGAUGAAGGUCUUCGGAUCGUAAAACUCUGUUAUUAGGGAAGAACAUAUGUGUAAGUAACUGUGCACAUCUUGACGGUACCUAAUCAGAAAGCCACGGCUAACUACGUG